UACCAGCACCCCGAGUGGUGGGGACGAUUAUUGGGCCUAAAGCAUCCGUAGCCGGUUUUACAAGUCCUCCGUUAAAUCCAGCUGCUUAACAGAUGGGCUGCGGAGGAUACUAUAAGACUAGGAGGCAGGAGAGGCAAGCGGUACUCAGUGGGUAGGGGUAAAAUCCGUUGAUCCAUUGAAGACCACCAGUGGCGAAGGCGGCUUGCCAGAAUGCGCUCGACGGUGAGGGAUGAAAGCUGGGGGAGCAAACCGG
rnacentral:rRNA from 1 species